rnacentral:rRNA from 1 species
UACGGGGGGGGCAAGCGUUGUUCGGAAUUACUGGGCGUAAAGGGCUCGUAGGUGGCCCCAUAAGUCAGACGUGAAAUCCCUCGGCUCAACCGAGGAACUGCGUCUGAGACUGUGGGGCUUGAAUCCGGGAGAGGGAUGCGGAAUUCCAGGUGUAGCGGUGAAAUGCGUAGAUAUCUGGAGGAACACCGGUGGCGAAGGCGGCAUCCUGGACCGGUAUUGACGCUGAGGAGCGAAAGCGUGGGGAGCGAACAGG